rnacentral:rRNA from 1 species
GACGGGUAGCUGGUCUGAGAGGAUGAUCAGCCACACUGGAACUGAGACACGGUCCAGACUCCUACGGGAGGCAGCAGUGGGAAUAUUGCGCAAUGGGCGAAAGCCUGACGCAGCCACGCCGCGUGAGCGAUGAAGGCCUUCGGGUCGUAAAGCUCUGUGGGGAGAGACGAAGAAAGCCCGUGAAGAGCGGGCCUUGACGGUAUCUCCUUAGCAAGCACCGGCUAACUCCGUGCCAGCAGCCGCGGUAAUACGGAGGGUGCAAACGUUGCUCGGAAUCAUUGGGCGUAAAGCGCACGUAGGCGGCGAAGCAAGUUGGGUGUGAAAGCCCUGGGCUCAACCCAGGAAGUGCAUUCAAAACUGCUUCGCUUGAAUCUCGGAGGGGGUCAGAGAAUUCCCGGUGUAGAGGUGAAAUUCGUAGAUAUCGGGAGGAAUACCAGUGGCGA